GUAAAAUACAUAUAAUAAGCAACACAGUAAAACUAGGGGUACACUGUAAAAAUUCAGAAGAAAGAAUAGGGGUACAGUGAAAAUUACCAUGAGAGAUUACAUAACUGAAUCAAUGUAAAUAAAUUGCAAAAAUCUGGGAAUAUACAUUGUAGCUACAAUGUAAACCAUCAUAAUUCUAGGGGAAAUUACACUUGAAUCAGGGGGCAUAGUCAGGAAUUACAUAGCAAAAUUACACAGUAAAACUACGGCACUGAAACUGCAUUAAUGAAUUACACUGAAACUGCAUAGUGAAUUACACAGUAAUUCUAUAGUAAAUUACACAGUAAAAAUACGGCAUGAUUUACACAGUAAUUCUACAUGGAAUUACCCUGGAACUACAUGAUGAAUUACACAAUAAUUCUAUAGUAAAUUACACUGAAACUACAUGAUGAAUUACACAGUAAAAAUGGGGCAAAAAUACACAGGACCUCGCUCAAUACUACCAUGCAAUUUUCAUAGUAAGUCUGAGGCAAAAAAUACUACUAAUUACAGAGUGAAAACAGGACCUCGCUCAAUACUACUGCAACAGAGACACUUCUCAUGAAAAGAAGAAAAUAAAAAUGCAAGAAACUACAUGAAGUACAGAGCUAAAAAGCAUGGAAAUCACACUGUAAAAAUGAGAGGUAAAUCAUCUAACAAAUGAUGUGUAAGACCUACAAAUUUACAGUACUGAAGCAUACAAAUUACAGUGUAAAUGUGCAGUAUAUUACAGUGUAAGCCCUACAUCAAACAGAGGUAAAAAUCCACUAUACUCAGUCCAAAAAAUACUAUGUAAAGAUACAACAUUUACAGUGCUGAAGCAUACAAAUUACAGUGUAAAUCUGUGGUAUAUUACAGUGUAAGCCCUACAGCAAUUCAGAGGUAAAUCAACAUCUGAUUACAGUUCUGAAGCAUAUAAAUUGCAGUGUUAAUCUGGGGUAGAUACAGUGAUGAAGCAUAGAAAUUACACUGUAAUUCUGGGGUAUACUAUAGUUGGUAAAUUACAGUGCAAUAUUAGGCAUAUUAUAGUGAAAAUUGUCCUAUAUUGUAGUGUAAAUCGCAGUUAAAUUCCAUAGUAAUUCAUGGAAAAUAAGAUGCAUGUCAAUUAACAUAAACAGAAACAUUUCAAUGGCAUUAGACUACUACUGGGAUGAUCUACUGGAAUAAAUAGAAACUAGAUUUGCAAUUUGCACACUAAAACUAUGUGGAUUACAAAGUAAGACUCAUGCAAAAAUACACAGUAAUUCUAAUGUAUGACACUAAAACUGUGGGCAUACACAUCAACACCCGGCACAAGGAAAAGAUACAAAACCUGCAUCACACACACACAGUUACCAUGGCAUUAAGAAGAAGGAACCUAAGUACAUCUAAACCAACACUAAGAGCGAUUAUCCACUCACAUGACAAAAGGGACCUACAACAGAGGGCAUAAUAGGAUCUAGAAACCAACACGGACAAAGGAGGCAACACCCAUCUACCAGCGAAAAAACAAAUCACCUACCAACGCAAAUCACAAACCCAAAACCACAAAAAAUCCCAUCUCAAAACCCUAUAACUGAUCCAUACAUUUAUCUGAAUCACAGAAACUGAACACGUUGAACCUACCACAAGCAGACGAGGAACAAAAAUGCGGACAUCACGAAGUGGAUGAAUAACGACAGCGGGAGAACGCGUACCGAAAUGAACCACUAAAACUACAAGCACCUACCAUGAAUCUACAACAACACGGCCCCGGAUCACAACACGCACCUACCACGAACCCUAACAAAAUCACAUCAGCAACUGACCCCUAGAUCUCGAAGCUACACACCGAGAAAUGAACAAAAUCACGCGCUCGAGAGAGAAAUUGGGAGACCAACCAACCGCAGGAGGCGAGAAUCAAAGGGAAAUGAGAGAGAAAUCAAGCUCCACGGGUGGGGGAUCUGGGAAUCGACAUGAACAGAAAGGAAUUGCCUCCAUCGCCCGAGCGCCUAUUCCUCCCUUUGCCUCGCUAUCUCCUCUCUCCCUUAUCGCUACAGUACCUCUAAAAUGAAAGGGGAAAACCACACCCAAAAUUCAAAAAGGACAUAAACCGAAAGAGGCAGAGAGGAGGGGCGCGGAGAGGUAACGGGCUGGGACAAAAAAACCAGACCCGACAGAAAAAACAAGCCCGAAGACCAGACAACCCAGAACGAAUCUCCACGCGACAACGAACGGACAGCGAUUUGAAUGUUGAUGAAUUGAAUAAUAGUCGACUGUUAAAUAGCAAAUUCAUAUAUAUAUAUAUAUAGACACACACACAUAUAUAAAUUUAUCAUUGGCACAUUGCUCCGUUCUCAGUAAGUCUCAUCCGAACCGAUCUUUCAUACUCUUUCAACAAUAAGUACGGCCUUAACGGCUGCUCUGCAGAUACACCUCGGCAUACCCUGCCAGGGGCUCGGCAUUGGAACGAAUGAGCUGCCAGUAAAAGUCCGAACAACUCUAUAGCGUACUUCGGCAUCGCAAGUUUGGCCUUAUAUGCAUCAGCACUGAAUCAUUGUCUUGGGUCAAUAGUUGGGUUGCCCGGCUCCUACGUUUGCUACCCUAUGUUCCGCCCUAUCGGCUAGGGUAGUAAAGGGAGAACUACUGCGAUUGUGCCCUAGCCUAGACCGGAUGAGCACCUCAGUAGAAAAAGCCGAAAACUGACUGUCAUGAUGCGGUGAGAGCUGGUCAACCACUUGACGACUUAUUGGAAUCCUUAGCGAUUCUCCGUGUAACACGAAGGAUAUUUUUCAGAUCAGAUAUGCAAGGCACCACAUGCUGCAUACACACCAGGGGCUAUGUCGUAGCCCCACCAUAAAACUCCUAUGGUUAAGUGAAAGUGUUAACGCCUUAUAGUCCGAUUGCCUGGUUCGCCGCAUUAUCACCUCCUUCAUGGACCAAGACGUUGGAUAAAGAGUGAUUAAAUGCUUUUCCGAACACCCCCGUACUUCCUACUGGGGGGCUGAAGCCGACGACUGGAAAACUUUCAGAUUAUAUUAAAACAACCGCACAGGAGGAAUUCAAGCUUUCGAGCAAUACAUAAAUAUAUUAACUAUAAAGUUGUUUUUUACAAUCAUCAUACACCUCACUCGAACAUUAUGUUUUUCGAACAUUGACCCUCUAUCAAGCGGGUGGCCUCCAGGACGUCUUCAAAAUAACUCUCCAGUUCCGAACGGUCCCUGCCUCCAGGCGGACCCUUCAUGGUGACGUCAACGGCCUUCAUAUUUCCCCAAAAUGUCUUGACUCGGGCAAGGGCCAUCCGUGCACCUUCAAUGCAUGCCGAUCGCUUCGCAUCAUCGAUUUGACAAGCUUCUGCACCAAACCGAAAUAACUACUCGGCGCAGGCUCGGUUGGCCACAGCCGGAUUAUAACAUCCUUCAUGGCAGCGCCAGAUACCCUAUGAAGUUCGGCCCAUUGGGACAUUUGCUCUUUGAGUAGCAGCGGGCGCUUCGACGCACCGAACUACGACCAAAAAAGUUUAUCUGUUGCAUAUCCAGCUCACGCUUGGUAAGACCGUGCUGCAUCGGAAGAACUCUUCGGCAAGUCCAAAUACUCGUCCGGAGAACUCCACACUUGGUUCAGCUGAGCAUAGUCCGGGUCACCGAACUUAGUCUGCAGCAGAAAAGGCUUUGCAGCCACUAUCUCUUUCGCCUACCGAAUAUCCUCACGGAGUGCUCUGGACUCUGAUCGCGCUUCUUUCACCUCCUGUCAGGCCUUGUCCAGUUCAUCCGUUAAGGCUUUAUUCUCCUUCUCAAGAAAUUUGCAGCGGCCAGCAGCGUUCUCCAAAGCGAGUGUCAUCGUGGAUACCUUCUCCUCGCCCUGGCGUCGUGUAGCUUGUUCGGCCUUCAGUUCAACCGAUGCCUCUUUAGCAGCAGCAUCACUAAGCCGGGCCCGCUCCUUGGCCCAGACUAGCUCCGCCCGAAGAGCCUCCACGGUGGCAGCACCAUCUGCAUUUUAUGCGCAUUUAAUAUAAAGCACUUUCCCGCGUCAAGCACACUGAUGUAAAGAAUGCUCGAAACACAUACCUUGCUAGUCGUCAAGACGCCUGUUGAUCAAUGCAAUGUCAUCCUUCGCAAUAUCCAGCUUUUGCUGUAGUUCGGCCACUUCCGUAUUCCGGGCAGCCACAGGAGGGGCAGCAGCCUAUAUUUCAAAUUAAACCAAGGUUAAUACCUGAGCAUAUCUCUUUGAUCCUCCGAUCGCUUCCUUCGGAAGCCAAUCAGAGUCUUAGGGGCUACUGCAUAUACGAUAGGCGCAUUCUGAUUCAAUUGACAAAACUACAUCACAAACCUCAAAACCUCUCAGAAGGCCCGUGAAGGCCUCGUCCAAUCCACUCUUUGCGGAUAGAACCCUUUUGACCACCGUAGCCAUGAAGGUACGGUGCUCUUCUGAAAUAGAUGCCCAUCGUAGCAAGCCCGUCAGCAUGUCCGGCGCUUCUUGGUCUUCGGAAACCGCCACCGGAGUACGACGUUCCUGUGAGGGAACCCGCUUACUUGCCUCUAGAAUCGUCACCGGCUGUAAACCGUACGGUUCGGAGACGCCAGUCUUGAUCCUGGAACCCUGAGUGACAGAGGCACCGCCUUCGGGUAACACCUCCUUCGCUUCCUGUACUACUUGGUGUUCGGGAGGAGCCCAUCGGGAUGAUACCUCGGUAUCAUCUCCCCUGUUGGGCGAUGCUACCUCUUGAGCACUGCGUUGGAUUUCCCCGAAGAGGAGAGGAUGAUGCAGCAAAGUAGCGUAAGUAUUUCCCUUAGUUUUUGAGAACCGAGGUAUCAAUCCAGUAGGAGGCUACGCGCGAGUCCCUCGUACCUACACAAAAACAACAGCUCAACGCAACCAACGCGCUUAGGGGUUGUCAAUCCCUUCACGGUCACUUACGAAAGUGAGAUCUGGUAGAGAUGAUAAAUAAUAUUUUUGGUAUAGAGAUGCAAAGUAAAAGGUAAAAGCAAAGCAAUAAUAAAGUGAUGGAGAUUGAUAUGAUGAGAAAGAGACCCGGGGCCAUAGGUUUCACUAGGGGCUUCUCUCAAGAGCAUAAGUAUUCUAUGGUGGGUGAACAAAUUACUGUUGAGCAAUUGACAGAAUUGAGCAUAGUUAUGAGAAUAUCUAGGUAUGAUCAUGUAUAUAGGAAUCACGUCCAAGACAAGUAGACCGACUCCUGCCUGCAUCUACUACUAUUACUCCACUCAUUGACCGCUAUCCAGCAUGCAUCAAGAGUAUUAAGUUAAAAACAG
rnacentral:lncRNA from 1 species